AAGCUGUCAGUCCGGAGUGACUUUACAAUUAGUACGGGCAAUAUUGAAUUGAGUUAAUCCGCAUCAACUCGCCUUCUGAUUAAAUAAAAUAAGCAAGCGUUGAAUUCAUUCAAUCGAUGGUAAUAAUUUCGCCAGAUAAUACAAGAAAAUAAAGCAAUUAGUUCUCUCAUAUACUUGCACCUUCACAACUGACACAUAAUAUUUACCAAAUGUCUUAUUUACGGGCAAUUCAAAAAAUACCGGGCAAUACUGCCAAUGAGAAAUUAUGUUGGAUCGGAAGAUUGGCUUUGUACCAGACCAGUAGCGAUCUUGAACAACUUCCACCAGAAUUACUGCCUAUAUUAAAUGUAGAAACUGCCAUCAAAAAAAAGAAACAUGAAGAUAUAACAUUUGCUCUUAAGUGCGAAGACUCAGCGAUAAUAAACCGUGCCUUUAAAGCCUUUUGGUUUUUUGAUGGUAGCCAUAAAGAAAUUGUUAACGUCAGGUAUUUUUUCGAACAUCUUUUCCCUUACGUUUCUAUAAACACAAGAACACGUAUUG